rnacentral:snoRNA from 1 species
UGGGGAGUACAUACGCAAUUAACUAUUAAGGGAUUAGUUAAUUGUCACUACAUUCCCUAAAGUAAAUAUGCCUUCUGAUGACUGCAGAAUUUGAAGGGGAAAUCUGUAGACAGAUACGAGGCAAAUAUUA